rnacentral:lncRNA from 1 species
GUAAGUAUUCCUUUGUCCAUAAACGUCGUGGGACCAAUAAACAAUUUAAUGAUUUUUUACUUCUAUAUAAAAAGGAGAUCUUGCAGGUAUUCCUUCUACCUAUAAAAGUCAUAUGACAAAUGACAGAUACUCAAACAAAUAAACUAAGUUGCAAAAUUAUAAAAGUAAUCAGUAUCUUAGUAACAGUUUAUUUUUUUAACAAGACUUAACAUUUUCGGAUAGUACACAUUGAAUUGUUAAUUGCAUCUCUAUGCCACCAAUCCCACCUAGUUAAUAUUAAUUGAUAAUUCCAUCUUAUAUAUAUAUAUAUUUAUAUACAUCAAUUUAUACAUAAUGUGAGGAAAAAAGUGAGGCUAAAAAUUAAGGUAAAAAUAAAGAGACAAUAUAAUUUGAGGAAAAAAAUGUUGAUUGUGAGAUAAGAGGAAAAAAGAACAAAUUGAUUAGUUGAAUAGAAAAGCUUCUAAGGAGGAUAAAUUUUUCAUUUUUAAGCUCUAAUAGACCAUGUGGUGGAAUAAUUUCUUUUAUAAAUAAUUAUCUUU